rnacentral:rRNA from 1 species
AGUGAACGCUGGCGGUAGGCCUAACACAUGCAAGUCGAACGGCAGCACAGUAAGAGCUUGCUCUUACGGGUGGCGAGUGGCGGACGGGUGAGGAAUACAUCGGAAUCUACUUUUUCGUGGGGGAUAACGUAGGGAAACUUACGCUAAUACCGCAUACGACCUACGGGUGAAAGCAGGGGAUCUUCGGACCUUGCGCGAUUGACUGAGCCGAUGUCGGAUUAGCUAGUUGGCGGGGUAAAGGCCCACCAAGGCGACGAUCCGUAGCUGGUCUGAGAGGAUGAUCAGACCCACUGGAACUGAGACACGGUCCAGACUCCUACGGGAGGCAGCAGUGGGGAAUAUGGGACAAGGGGCGCAAGCCUGAUCCAGCCAUACCGCGUGGGUGAAGAAGGCCUUCGGGUUGUAUAGCCCUUUUGUUGGGAAAGAAAAGCAGCAGGUUAAUACCCCGCUGUUCUGACGGUACCCAAAGAAUAAGCACCGGCUAACUUCGUG